CAGUAGCCGCGGGAAUACAGAGGGUGCGAGCGUUAAUCGGAUUUACUGGGCGUAAAGCGUGCGUAGGCGGCUUCUUAAGUCGGAUGUGAAAUCCCUGAGCUUAACUUAGGAAUUGCAUUCGAUACUGGGAAGCUAGAGUAUGGGAGAGGAUGGUAGAAUUCCAGGUGUAGCGGUGAAAUGCGUAGAGAUCUGGAGGAAUACCGAUGGCGAAGGCAGCCAUCUGGCCUAAUACUGACCCUAAGGUACGAAAGCAUGGGGAGCAAACAGGAUUAGAUACCCCUGUAGUCCCUGUCUCUUAUAC
rnacentral:rRNA from 1 species